rnacentral:lncRNA from 1 species
UCCAAGGACAAUGGUGAAAGAAACUAAUUUAGAUAAAGAUGUUCAUCAUAUUAUAGACUAGACAAGGAAUAAAAAAGAGUUUAUGGUUUUAUUUUAGGGUUAAUAGGUCUUUAUCCCCUGUAAUAUAUGUUAUUUCCGGGUUUUCCCCAGUAAAAAACCGGAAAUGACUUAUAUUACAGGGGGGUAAAGACCUAUUAACCCUUUA